rnacentral:rRNA from 1 species
UACGGAGGAUGCAAGCGUUAUCCGGAAUGAUUGGGCGUAAAGCGUCCGCAGGUGGCUGUGUAAGUCUGCUGUUAAAGAGUGAGGCUCAACCUCAUAAAGGCAGUGGAAAGUACAUGGCUAGAGUGCGUUCGGGGCAGAGGGAAUUCCUGGUGUAGCGGUGAAAUGCGUAGAGAUCAGGAAGAACACCGGUGGCGAAAGCGCUCUGGGCCGGAACUGACGCUGAGGAGCGAAAGCGUGGGUAGCAAACAGG